rnacentral:rRNA from 1 species
CGAAAGCGGAGGAGGCUAAACCAUGCGCAUGUGAUACCGGGUAGGGGUUGUGUGUGUGGGGUUGUGGGGUUCGUCUUCUUCCAUCUGCCUGUGGAAGCGUGAGUCAGAAAAUCGUGUGUUAGGUGAAGUGGCCUGGAAUGGUCUGCCGUAGUCGGUGAGAGUCCGGUAGCUGAAAACACAUGGUCUUGCGUGACGGUGUCCCCAAGUAGCAGCGGGCUCGUGGA